UAAGGCUUGACAUACACCGGAAAGCAUCAGAGAUGGUGCCCCCUUGUGGUCGGUGUACAGGUGGUGCAUGGCUGUCGUCAGCUCGUGUCGUGAGAUGUUGGGUUAAGUCCCGNAACGAGCGCAACCCUUGUCCCGUGUUGCCAGCAACUCUUCGGAGGUUGGGGACUCACGGGAGACCGCCGGGGUCAACUCGGAGGAAGGUGGGGACGACGUCAAGUCAUCAUGCCCCUUAUGUCUUGGGCUGCACACGUGCUACAAUGGCCGGUACAAUGAGCUGCGAUACCGCAAGGUGGAGCGAAUCUCAAAAAGCCGGUCUCAGUUCGGAUUGGGGUCUGCAACUCGACCCCAUGAAGUCGGGGUCGCUAGUAAUCGCAGAUCAGCAUUGCUGCGGUGAAUACGUUCCCGGGCCUUGUACACACCGCCCGUCACGUCACGAAAGUCGGUAACACCCGAAGCCGGUGGCCCAACCCCUUGUGGGAGGGAGCUGUCGAAGGUGGGACUGGCGAUUGGGACGAAGUCGUAACAAGGUAAGCGUAGCGAG
rnacentral:rRNA from 1 species